rnacentral:lncRNA from 1 species
UGGUUCAUUGUUAUAAGAGAAUAUUAUAAUAGUAAACUAGUAGUACGGGUCCACGGGAGGAGCCUGCAUUCAUUAUGUAGAGUACUUAAUUUUUUUGAAUUUAAAUUCUCAACUCAAAUUUUUAACACGGUAGUUGACAUUUGUCAACUUGUCAUAUAGUGCACAUGGAGACGUUCAGAUUGCAGAUUUUUAAAUAAUUUAAGAUUUUUUUCCCACAUGCCAAGCAAGCACUUGCCUUACGGCUAUAUUUAUAUUUCACUAAAUAUUUUUUUACUUACUCUUUUUACUCCCACCAACAAAGUAAAUAAAAUUAAUUUUUGUCUUUUUAUUACUAUCUAAUAUUAUAUAUACACGCCAUUAUGCUAUGAUGCUUCACAAUUCUUCUUCUUCUUCUUUUUCCUCAAACUUUCCAAUAUUCUAAAAGCCAAAAUCAUUAAGAAUCCGCAGCAACAUAAUAUGAAUGCAGAAGAACCUCAACACCCUCAAGAAUACGAUGUUGAUGUAGUUGGACCUCAACAAAACGCUAGACUAAAUCAGCCCAGAGGUCGUUUUCUAAAUGAGCUUUUUCAAAAUUUUACUACAAUAAGGGAGGAAAUAAUAGAUAAUGGUUUGCAUCGUCCUUAUAAGCGGAUGAUCUUGAGGUGCAACUAUUGUCAUCGAGAAGUUAUUUAUUCAAACAGCCAUGGCACCUUGGGUUUACGUCGGCACGUGUCAAAUUGUUUAGCUCGCCACCAGCCGAGAUAGAAUUAACCUUGCUCGUUUCCCGUAUCCAUAGUUGUGAAUUGUGAUUAAUAAAUGUUUUUUUCGUGCUUGUUAUUCGUCAAUUGAUCGUAGUUCGUGUUUUGUAGUUGUAACUUGUAAGUUAUGACCUAUGAUUUGUUAUAUUAAUAUUUCGUAGUUAUGACUUAUUAUAAUGAUUAUUCGAGGAUUGUAUUUUUAAUUUUAAUUAAUUAUUAUUAUGAUCUAUGGAAUUAAAUUAAAUUAAAUUUAUGUAUUGUUGUGUUAUGAAUUAUGAUUGAUUAUUGUGAAAUAAAAUAUAUAGUUGUGAAAUUGUGAUAAACUAAUAAUAAAAUGUUAAUUA